UGGCGGCGUGCCUAACACAUGCAAGUCGAACGAGAAAGUGGAGCAAUCCAUGAGUACAGUGGCGUACGGGUGAGUAACACGUGACUAACCUACCCUCGAGUGGGGAAUAACUUCGGGAAACCGAGGCUAACACCGCAUAAUGUCUACGGACCAAAUGCGUAAGCAGCUUGAGGAGGGGGUCGCGGCUGAUUAGCUUGUUGGCGGGGUAACGGCCCACCAAGGCAAUGAUCAGUAGCCGGCCUGAGAGGGCGCACGGCCACACUGGAACUGAAACACGGUCCAGACUCCUACGGGAGGCAGCAGUGGGGAAUUUUGCGCAAUGGGGGAAACCCUGACGCAGCAACGCCGCGUGGAGGAUGAAGCCCCUUGGGGUGUAAACUCCUUUCGAUCGGGACGAUUAUGACGGUACCGGAUGAAGAAGCACCGGCUAACUCUGUGCCAGCAGCCGCGGUAAUACAGAGGGUGCAAGCGUUGUUCGGAAUUAUUGGGCGUAAAGGGUGCGUANGCGGUGCGGUAAGUCUUCUGUGAAACCUCCGGGCUUAACUCGGAGCCUGCAGGGGAAACUGCCGUGCUGGAGUAUGGGAGAGGUGA
rnacentral:rRNA from 1 species